GACGGGGGGGGCAAGUGUUCUUCGGAAUGACUGGGCGUAAAGGGCACGUAGGCGGUGAAUCGGGUUGAAAGUGAAAGUCGCCAAAAAGUGGCGGAAUGCUCUCGAAACCAAUUCACUUGAGUGAGACAGAGGAGAGUGGAAUUUCGUGUGUAGGGGUGAAAUCCGUAAAUAUACGAAGGAACGCCAAAAGCGAAGGCAGCUCUCUGGGUCCCUACCGACGCUGGGGUGCGAAAGCCAGGGGAGCGAACGGG
rnacentral:rRNA from 1 species